rnacentral:rRNA from 1 species
CGCAAUGGGCGAAAGCCUGAUGGAGCAACGCCGCGUGCAGGAUGAAGGCUCUCGGGUCGUAAACUGCUUUUAUAUGUGACGAUUAUGACGGUAGCAUAUGAAUAAGGAUCGGCUAACUCCGUGCCAGCAGCCGCGGUCAUACGGAGGAUCCAAGCGUUAUCCGGAAUUACUGGGCGUAAAGAGUUGCGUAGGUGGCAUUGUAAGUCGAUAGUGAAAGCGUGGGGCUCAACCCCAUAUCCAUUAUCGAAACUACAAAGCUAGAGGAUGAGAGAGGUUAUUGGAAUUCCCAGUGUAGGAGUGAAAUCCGUAGAUAUUGGGAGGAACGCCGAUGGCGUAGGCAGAUAACUGGCUCAUUCCUGCCCCUCACCACGAAAGCGU